rnacentral:rRNA from 1 species
GAACCUUAUCAUUUAGAGGAAGGAGAAGUCGUAACAAGGUUUCCGUNCGUGAACCUGCGGAAGGAUCAUUG